rnacentral:misc_RNA from 2 species
AACGCACCUUGCGCUCCUUGGUAUUCCGAGGAGCAUGCCUGUUUGAGUGUCAUGAAAUUCUCAACCUUUUUCAGCUUUGUUGUUGAAUGAGGCUUGGAUUGGUGGGGGUUUGCGGGCUUCAAAAGUCAGCUCUCCUUAAAUAUAUUAGCGAGAUCUUUGUUACUUAGCUUUGGUGUGAUAAUUAUCUACGCCAUUGCUUAAGAGUAACUUGGAAUAAGAUCUUGCUUCAAAUCGUCUUGUUAGAGACAACUUGUUACAUUGACCUCAAAUCAGGUAGGACUACCCGCUGAACUUAA